CUAAGAGAAGAAGAGAAGAAGAAAAAAAUAAGAAGGGGAAGAAGAGAAAAAAGAAGAAAAUAAUAAUGAGUAGAAGAAGAGGAUAAAGAAAAAUACAAAUAGAAAUAAGAGGAAGAAGAAGAAUAAGAUGAGGAGGAAGAAGACGAGAAGAGGAGGAGGAGGAGGAGGAGGAGGAGAAGAAGAAGAAGAAGAGGAGCAGAAGAGGAGAAGAAAGAGGAAAAAUGAAAAGAAGGAAGAAGAAGAA
rnacentral:lncRNA from 1 species